CCUACGGGAGGCUGCAGUGGGGAAUAUUGGACAAUGGGCGAAAGCCUGAUCCAGCCAUGCCGCGUGUGUGAAGAAGGCCUUCGGGUUGUAAAGCACUUUCAGUGGGGAAGAAAGCCUUGGGGCUAAUACCCUCGAGGAAGGACAUCACCCACAGAAGAAGCACCGGCUAACUCCGUGCCAGCAGCCGCGGUAAUACGGAGGGUGCGAGCGUUAAUCGGAAUUACUGGGCGUAAAGCGCGCGUAGGCGGUCUGAUAAGCCGGUUGUGAAAGCCCCGGGCUCAACCUGGGAACGGCAUCCGGAACUGUCAGGCUAGAGUGCAGGAGAGGAAGGUAGAAUUCCCGGUGUAGCGGUGAAAUGCGUAGAGAUCGGGAGGAAUACCAGUGGCGAAGGCGGCCUUCUGGACUGACACUGACGCUGAGGUGCGAAAGCGUGGGUAGCAAACAGGAUUAUACCCGAGUAGUC
rnacentral:rRNA from 1 species